rnacentral:rRNA from 1 species
AAUUUGGGACAAUGGGGGAAACCCUGAUCCAGCCAGCCCGCUUGUAUUAAUAAUGCCUNCGGGUUNUNAAGUACUUUUAGCAGAGNCGAAUAGGUAUCGCCUAAUACGGGAUAAUUCUGACGGUAUCUGCAGAAUUAGCACCGGCUAACUACGUGCCAGCACCCGCGGUAAGACGUAGGGUGUAAGCGUUAAUCGGAAUUACUGGGCGGAAAACGUGUGUAGGCGGUUCGGAAAGAAAGAUGUGAUCUCCCAGGGCUCAUCCAAGGAACUGCUUUUUUAACUGCCGGGCUGGCGUAAGUUAGAGGGGGGUAGAAGUCCACGUGUAGCAGUGAUAUACGUCGAUAUGUGAAGGAAUACCGAUGGUGAAGGCAGCCACCUGGGAUAAUACUGACGCUCAGAAACGAAAGCGUGGGGAGCAAACAGG